UGGGGGAUAUUGCACAAUGGGCGAAAGCCUGAUGCAGCGACGCCGCGUGGGGGAUGAAGGCCUUCGGGUUGUAAACUUCUUUUGCUCUGAACAAGGCAUGCUAAUGGGUGUGUUGAGUGUAGGGGUUGAUUAGCGCCGGCUAACUACGUGCCAGCAGCCGCGGUAAUACGUAGGGCGCGAGCGUUGUCCGGAAUUAUUGGGCGUAAAGGGCUUGUAGGUGGCUGGUUGCGUCUGUCGUGAAAGCUCAUGGCUUAACUGUGGGGUUGAGGUGGGUAGGAGCUGGCUUAAGUGCAGUAGGGGAGGGUGGGAUUCCUGGUGUAGCGGUGGGAUGCGCAGAUAUAAGGAGGAAUACCGGUGGCGAAGGAGGGUCUCUGGGCUGUUACUGACACUGAGGAGCGAAAGCAUGGGGGGCGAGCAGG
rnacentral:rRNA from 1 species